UGGAGUUGACAGCUUGUUGACAGCUCUGCAGAAUUUGGACUCGUGCACUCCCGCAGUUGCGGGAGAGUGUGAAUGCAGUCCCCUCCAACACAAAUUAUGCAGUUGAGUUUCCCACAUUUGGGGAAAUUACAGGGGUCAGCAUGCCCGGAGUGCAAUGAAUCAGACUCCCCCUGGGAAAAUCACCUUGGUGACAAUGGUGUCUCUCCUGCCAGAGUCGGCAUGCCAAAAAUGAUGACCAGCAGAGAGCUGCCCAAGAAAAGUGAUGAUGGUGACAGCAGCAGAUGGAUAGUAAACCAUUGGCACAUUGGAAAUAAUCAGACAUCAUCCUACAGCUGGAAAAUCAGCAAGGAAUGAAGAUCGGGCUUUCUCCUCAUUAAAUCUGUAAUUAAGGCCUCAUUCUGCUUCGUUGAAAUCCUGCUGUGUUGGUGGGUGAUACCUUCUCUGUACUGGGGUGAGGGAACCCCUACGCAUGGCAGUGAGUGAUAAGUUAAUCAAAAGGUGGUAUGGAAACAAAAGAAGGUCAGUGAGAGAUUUAAGAAAGUCCAUAAAUAAAAAUGAAAUAAUUCUCAUCAAUUUCCACAUCCCUAUCCCAAUCUGAUGUAGGACUUCAAUGGUAUGGAAAAAUAUUGAGAACUCUGUGCUUGCCAACAUGAAUUUUGAUGGCAGGAAUAAAAAUCAGCAACUGUUUCAUGAGCUUAAUAAAUGUAAUUCUCUGGCAUAAAUAAAAAUAAUAAAAUAGCUAAUUUUCAUAGAUCUUUACUGAGACCAUAAGAAGUAUGGCAGUGUCAGAUCUGUGGUAUAUUUGGCCAAAUAUUUAAACUUGCCAGAGGCGAUACAGGAUUUAUAGAAAAGAAUUCUUGCCCUAUCACAUUAGCAUUUGAAUGUGAGGCAUGUUUCCAAAUACUGCCAGACUCAUUUAAAGUAAAUCCUGAUUUGUCAUCCAUGAAUUUAUACAAACAUGUAUAAUUGCUAUUAUCAUAUCAGCCUAUAUAUUCUCUUGAGGUAAUACAUUUUGUAAACUUAUUAAUAUUUAUGUAAGUAUAGACCUAUAAAUUUCCCCUUUUAUACUUAAGAAGACUGUCCAGCUCUCAUUUUCCUGAAAUUUAAUGCAUUAACACUGACCUUUCAUGACUUGGUAAACUAGAAUUAUAGCCGCCUGAGUUUUUCUUGAUUGGAAAAUAAUUGAAAUAUCUGUUGAAUAAAAUACAAUUGACUUUUGCAAUAACAUUUAGUGUUGUUAAAAAAAUCACUAUAUAUUAUUCUUUUAAUAAGAGAGAGAAAAGUGACAUAUAAUUGAUUAUAUGUAAAUGAGAUAUGAAUCCCAAAUGUCUAUAGCAGCUAUUUCACAGAAGAUACUUUAUCUUGAGAGAAGAAAGACAGACCAAUAGUCUUUUGUUUUGUUUUAUGGCCUAGACACAGGCUUAAAAUUCUCACAUGCAAAUAGUUCCUAAAUUCUGUCACCAUGAGUUUCUCAAAGAAAUGUGGGCUUGUCUUAUUUUGCUAUAAGUGAAAAGAUACAGGAAGCAGAAGUUCUGGAGUUGGACCAUAAAUCUGGUGUUUACUAGUUCUGUAACUGUGCUCAGUAAUGAUCCUCAAUUGGUAAACUCUCAGAGACCAUUUUCCUCACACAUCAAACGGGCAUAAAAAAUAUAUAUGCAUCUAACAUAACAUGAAAGUACUUUGUAAAUGGUAAAGGACUGUUAGAAAUGUUAGUUGACUGAUGUGAUUUCAGGGGCUUAACAAAUCCUCAACAUACCACACUUUCCCUAACAGAUUUCCAUUUUCUUUGGAGUGCCAACACAACUGCUUCCUCAGACACCAGACCCCAUUUGUCAUCUAAGGUUUGCAUGAACCCAGAAACCAGGAAUCACUUCACCAUAUUUUAAGAAAAGCAUUUUUAAGGAAGUAGAAAACCAGACAGUUUAGAAUCACUGUUGUGCAAUUUGGUGAAAAACAUCAGAUGUAGUAUAUCCAGCUUUCAACUUAUGCUCUAAAGUAAGGCUUCUCAAAAUUUAAUGUGUCCACAAAUCACUGGAGAGGAAUAUUCUUAAUACAGACUCUUACACAGUAAGUCUGGGGUGGAUCCUGAGAUUUGGCAUGACUGACAAGCUCCCAGAUAACGUCAGUGCUACUGGUCUUUGGGCCAAACUUUGAGUAGGAAGCCUUUAGACACUCUACAGGUGCAUUAUCCAAUAUGAUGGCUCCAACAUGUGGCUAUUUAAGUUUAAAUUAAUUCAAGUUAAAUAAAAUUAAAAGUUCAUUUAUUAUGUUGCACUAUCCAUAUUUCAAGUGCUCAUUAAUGCAGACCUAGAACAUCCCCAUCAUUACAGAAAGCUCUGUUGGACAACCCUGCAAUAGAGCUCAGCAGAAAAAUUCAGGAGGGGAUAGAAAACAUGUUGUCUGGACCUAACAGGUUUCCCCUCACCCCUGUGGGUUCUAAAGUGGUAUUCCCAUAGCUGCGUCCACUUGGCAUCAAUCGUUUAAUCUGCUGCAUCCCUCACAUAUAAGGAGGAUUUUAAUGACCUCAUCAUGCGAUACACGCUUGGAGCUGUAACGACAGGAGGGAGAUGGUUUUUCUGUGAGUCUCGGCUUUUAGAAAAAGAGGAGAGAAACUGAAUGUCAGUUCCCUACCAGCAGGAAGUAGAAGAGGGUCCGAUGAUGCCCAAUGAGAGAAUGACGAAGAGCCAGCCUUGCUCCUCUCAAGGGAAGAGUGGAGUGAUAUUAAUCAGCACACUAUUGUGUACCAAGAGGGUUCUCUCAGGAGAAGAGCAGUGCAUCUGUCCCACUCACACAUCAAAGAGCCCCAGCAGCUGAAAAUGCUUGUGUCAAAUCUCCACUCAGCCUCUUUCUCCUUGCUUUCCUUUCCUGGUUCAUUUGCUAUUCUGUAGGCUGUUUAGCAAUAAGCCCUUCAUCUGAUUAACAUUUCAAACCCAUUGUUGGUCUGUGCUGGCUUAAAUGAACUAAUCAUCAUUAGUACUUCAAAACCUGUCUGGCUAUGCCUGCAAGGGAAAAAAAAGAAGGAAGAGAAGAAAAGGAAAAGGAAACAAGCCUGCCUCUUUAAAUAAGCAUUCCAUAAGUAGUUGGUCAAGACUGAAACAAAAGCAGAAUCCUUAGUAUUUUAAGUGUUAAUGAAGUCAUGGACACAAAUAGGAACCAGGAAAACAGAGGCAGAAAUUUAAAUACGUAUCCACUGGGAAAUAAUGGGAUAGAAACUAUUCAGAAAAGUAAGGAAAGAAAGCCUGAGACUGCAUCCCCUUUGCUCUGAUUCCUUUUUCCUGUGGAAUAUUCAUUUAUGACUGAUACCAGAGCAAAACUUUUUGUAGGAUUUUAAAUUUUCUAUUCUUUAUAUUUUACACAUUUCAGGAGAAAUAUAUUCCCAAGAGUAAUGGAGGUAGGUCAUCUUUCUAUUUUUGUGUACUACUGACAUUAUGUAACUUUUAAUGUAUAUUUUGCUUCCUACUAUAGAAUGUGACUGAACCUAUAAUAUUAUUAGGCCUGGUAAGCCAUCAACCUGGCUAAACCUGAAUUUACAAGAGGAGUAUUUUUUUUUUAAUUCUAGAUCAGAUAUCCCCUAGCAAGUAUAUCCAUUGUUUAUUCCUCUUUAUUAUUUCCCACAGACUAGCUGAUCCCUGGGAUCUAGUAGUGUGUUUCCCAAAGUGUAAUACCUGUAAGAGAGAUGACUGAAGAUGAUGCAACAUCACAGCCUAAAACAUCAUUGAAUCAUAUAGUGUGAAACUUAUUCUCUUUUUAUGUCUCUUUGAAUCCUUUGAUGGAGUCCAGGAGAAAGUCUUUUCGGUACCUUACAGGUUUAACAUCACUUCCAGUUGCCAAUCUUCCUUUUUAACAAAUAAAGCAGUCCUUAGGCUCAGAGUCUUCUGAGGGAACCCAGAUGUAAAUAAAAAUUAGUAACAUUUUGUUUUCAUAGACUUCAUUGUUUUUUAACAUUUUCCUCUAUUAUGGCACAUUAUAUUGGUUUUUUAUUCAUGGUGGUAAUAACAUGUUUCUUAAAAAUACAUUUAAGUAAAAAAUAGUCUAUUUAAAGGAAUUAUUAACUGCAUAAUAAUGCAAGGUAAUAUGGUAGAAAUAAUAAAAGCAUAGCAUAAUUUGAAGGGCCUCUUUGUUUUGCUUUGAGGGAUGAUAAGGAGAACAGAUGCAUUGCUCCUUAGCUCUCAGUAUCUGUAUGCAUAGUGGGUUCAAUUUCUGCGUCAAAGAUUUGGCGCACACUAGGACCUUAGGGAACGAUGUUUCACGGAAGCCACAGGUGGGAAGACGAAGGAGGAAAUGUCUAAUUCUUUUAAAAAAAUGACUGAAGAGGCUGGUCCUAGAGAGCAUUCAGGUGGCUAAGUGGCGGGAAAUGGCAAUGCAGAAAAGCAGCAGCAACAGAAGGGGGUACUAAGGAGCUGUUGGAUGAUGAGCAAGCAAGGAGGCAUUCCCCCAAUUCUUUCUAACUUGACUGAUUUUGGUGUGGUGAGUUGCUGAGAGUUUGCCAUGUGCUUUUUCCAAAGUUUGCUUUAAAGUGCCUUCUUUAGGAGGGAGAGGAGACACAAGAUUUAUUUAUUAUGUGUCAACUCAUUGUCACAUUGCCAUUUUUGACAACUGGAGCCAAAUUUAUUCUGAGAAGCAAAUUUUCUGGAGCCUUCUGUGUCAUUGAUUUCCCUAACAUGAAAUCACAAUACUAGUUCUUGUCUACCAGUUUGUUUUUAAGAGGAAAACCCUCACAGGUGUCUGAUCACAAUAGCACCUACUAUUCACAAAGGCAGUUUGCGUUCGCCAUGUUCACGGAUACAAAAUGGUACCAGAUCCUGAGACUCAACGUGUGGUCUGUGGACAAGUAGCCUCGGUAUCACCUGGGAAGUUGUUAGAAAUGUAUAAUCUUUGGCCUCGCCCUAGACUGAAUGAAUGAGAGUGUGCUUUUUUAAGGUGAUUCAUAUGAUGCUAUAUUAUAAGAUGUAGGAUCUGUCUUCAAAUAGCUUAACAACCUAGUUUGGAAAUAAUACUGAUAUUAAAACCAUGAAGCAAAAACUAGUGGUAGUAGGCAGUAUAAAUGGUAGGAUAUUAAUUUAAACAAGAUAAUCAAUGAUCUUCAAAAAAGGUCGGAGCAGGUCAAAUGAAGGAAGUAUGAUUUGAACUGUCUGUUAAAAAUUAUCUAGAAUUAGGAGACAGAAGCAAGCCAUCAUCUUGGAGUGUGGUGAUGAUUUUUAGGCAAAUACAAAGGGAAGAUAGAAAUAAACAUGCAUCUUAAAUAAAUGUAGAGAAAACUUGCUUAAUUAGAGCGAACGAUGCAUGCUGGGGACUUGUGGAAAGUGUGGGUCAGUUUUGGUAGUCAAGCAGAGGAAUUGACCUUUUCUACCAGAGGAAAUAUAUACCAUCACUGAUAAUAUGUGGACUAGGAAAUCACAUAAGUAGAACCCAGUCUCUCCUACAUACUAAAUGUUCAGCAUUUGCAAAAUUGAGUUGGUAAAACUAUAUGUUUGAGAAUGAUUGCUCUGGACCCGUGGGAGUUAAGGAGAAAUUGCAGGGAAAAAUGCCCAAAUGAUACAGGCUAUAAAUAUCCUUAGCAUGGGAUCAGAUGCCUUGAAUAAUGUCUGUUCAGUAGAAGACAAGCAAAGACCUUAAAAACAAUAAUUAUAUGUAAAAGACUAAUAUAGUCAAACCACUGUAUCACAAUGACUAUGCUGAUUUGAAUUUGUCUCAAUUAAG